rnacentral:rRNA from 1 species
UGAGCGACCUGCCGAUCAGAGGGGGAUAGCCGGCCCAACGGCCGAGUAAUACCGCAUACGCUUUCGGAACCGCAUGGUUCUGUAAGGAAACCUCAGGGGCUGAUCGAGGGCUCGCGGCCUAUCAGCUAGUUGGCGGGUAACGCCACAGCAACGACGGGUANCUGGUCUGAGAGGAUGGCCAGCCACAGUUGGGACUGAGAUACCGGCCCAGACUCCGUAGGGAGCAG